rnacentral:rRNA from 1 species
GACGAACGCUGGCGGCGUGCUUAACACAUGCAAGUCGAGCGGAAAGGCCACUUCGGUGGUACUCGAGCGGCGAACGGGUGAGUAACACGUGAGUAAUCUGCCCCUGGCUUUGGGAUAGCCACCGGAAACGGUGAUUAAUACCGGAUACGACCACUUCUCGCAUGGGAUGGUGGUGGAAAGUUUUUUCGGCCAGGGAUGUGCUCGCGGCCUAUCAGCUUGAUGGUGAGGUAAUGGCUCACCAUGGCUUCGACGGGUAGCCGGCCUGAGAGGGUAACCGGUCACACUGGGACGGAGACACGGCCCAGACUCCUACGGGAGGCAGCAGUGGGGAAUAUUGGACAAUGGGCGGAAGCCUGAUCCAGCAACGCCGCGUGAGGGAUGACGGCCUUCGGGUUGUAAACCUCUUUCAGCAGGGACGAAGCGCAAGUGACGGUACCUGCAGAAGAAGCACCGGCCAACUACGUGCCAGCAGCCGCAGUAA